rnacentral:lncRNA from 1 species
UUCGAACUGUAUCUGCUGAUUAUGGUGCUUAGAAUUAAAUAUGAGUUUCAUAAAAUUUGCAUGAGGUAAAUGCAAGUUUAAGUGUGGAAAUGAAAAUGGGACUGACUAAACGGAAAGACAGAUCACUUAAUUUCCGUUCUCCUAUGGUGAGGGCAUACAAAACUAGUUUUAGAAAUGAUGGACUGAGAUAAUGAAGGACUGAGAUUUGUAACAUGGGAUAGCACAUAGAUUUGAUAAAAGGACAUACUUUUGAGGAUUGACAUAGGUUUGUUUCUUAAAUAUGAUUGAAAAUUCUUAAAAGUUAUAAAGUUAUUAUAUUACUUGGAGCUUCCAUUUUACAGAAAUUGAGUUCAACUUGCUUCAGCAGCUCUCUAGGGACAAGUUGUUGUGUAAAUGACAAAGGAUGAUAUGAAAAAUCUAAAAGUGUGAAAAUAAUGAUGUAAAUACCAAAUUUUACAUAUCUUUUUAUUAAACACAUAUUUGGAAUGUCCACACUUAUCACUAUUUAUAUUUACAAAUAUAUAAACAUUUACAUUGAAUAUAAAUACAUUAUCAAAAUAAAGCACUGAUAUAAAAAAAAUAUUAUCACAAACAUGGCAACUAUUAUGCAUUAACAAACAUACAUAUUAUAUACGUGUCUUUCCCUUAAUUUUUGUUGUUGAUAUUUAUGAGACAAUUUUAUUUACGGGGCAGAUCCAUGAUUUUAUAGAACAGGGGCAUAACUCAAAAAUAUUUUUAAAGAGUAAUACAAGUAUUUUAUAUAAACAAAGUCUGUAUCCUACCAGUCAUUUGAAUAAUUUCAGGUUUACAUAAACAAAUAAAAGAUUCAUUGAUUGUUGUUUGUUUAAUAUUACGUACAUGCAUGUUCAAAAUGAAACAAUCAUAAGUGUCUCACAAUUCAAACUCUUGUUUUUCUUAACAUUUUGUACUAUACAGAUUAUUUGUGAGAAUUUUAAGUUCUAUUUUGAUACUAUUGCUUUUCCUUUAAAAGUUUGUUCAUAUACAUCAUGAUACAUGUAUAUACGUAUAAAUGUGACAUUUAUUUUGAGUAUUGAAAUUUAUGAUUUAUUUCUGCCAAUAAAAUCAAUGAAAAUUGGUUGAAUGCAAUGAAUUUCACAAAUGUCACAUUCAUCCCAUUUUUCUCAAUACCUUUAUAUAAAUUACUAAUAAAAUCAAUAACAUUUUCCAUAAUGCUGUUUGUUUUAAUUUUUUCUGCUACCAUCAGUUUGACUUCCUUCUUCUGAUUUCAGUAUUUAUUUACCAAUUUCACUAUAAAAUUAUGUGAAAAUGGAAAUGGCAAGAUUUUACUAUUUUAAGGAAGUCAAAAUUAUAUAUCCAUAUAAUAAAAACUUAGUACACCUUUUAUACUUGAUGAGAAUAUUUAUACAUAAGAUAUAAGACUUAAAUAAUUUCCCAAAGACUGUUUAUAGAUAAGGAAAAACAAGUGUAAAGAAAGUUUUUUCUAUAUUCAGAACUAUAUGUAAAGAUAAAAAAAAACAAUAUAAGAAACAUUUAUCUUGUAAAAGAAAAAUUAAUUUUACCAACUAAUAAGGUAUUACAAAAUAGAAGUACUGUAGAAUGUUUCAUUCCAG